rnacentral:rRNA from 1 species
UCCGUAGGUGGCAAGCGUUGUCCGGAAUUCUUGGGCGUAAAGCGCGCGCAGGUGGUUUCUUAAGUCUGAUGUGAAAGCCCACGGCUCAACCGUGGAGGGUCAUUGGAAACUGGGGAACUUGAGUGCAGAAGAGGAAAGUGGAAUUCCAAGUGUAGCGGUGAAAUGCGUAGAGAUUUGGAGGAACACCAGUGGCGAAGGCGACUUUCUGGUCUGUAACUGACACUGAGGCGCGAAAGCGUGGGGAGCGAACAGG